rnacentral:rRNA from 1 species
UACAGAGGUCUCAAGCGUUGUUCGGAAUUACUGGGCGUAAAGGGCGCGUAGGCGGCCUUCUAAGUCGAACGUGAAAUCCCCGGGCUUAACCUGGGAACUGCAUUUGUGACUGCAUAGCUAGAGUACGGUAGAGGGGGAUGGAAUUCCGCGUGUAGCAGUGAAAUGCGUAGAUAUGCGGAGGAACACCGAUGGCGAAGGCAAUCCCCUGGACCUGUACUGACGCUCAUGCACGAAAGCGUGGGGAGCAAACAGG